UAAUUAAUUUUUCUUUUCAAGCGAAAGCUCUCACUUAAGCCUUUUCCUGUCCCCAGCAGCAACGUCCUUGCUUAGGUCUGAAGCAGAGGCAGCUCAGACCUAUCCAUGGCCUCUCCAUGGCCGACCUGAGUCUGCUCUGUGUUUCCAGGCCCUACCCGGAAGACCUUGUGGGCUCCAGAUGAGGCAACUGAGGCCCAGACAGCAGGAAGUCGUCCUGCGCAGGAUACACAACAGGGCCGGCGGCGGCGGCUGCCCCGAGGGACGGGGCCCUAGGCGGUGGCGAUGGG